rnacentral:tRNA from 3 species
AUACUCUAAAUAUAAGCUAUUUAAGU